CUUCUGAACUCAUGCGAUCUGCCUGCCUUGGCCUUCCAAAAUGCUGGGAUUUACAGGCGUAAGGUACCUCACUAGCCACAUUUUUUAGCCCUGGAAUAAAUUAAUAGUUAGGUUAUAAAACCGAUAAAUGUAACUUACCCCAUUAAAAAAUUAAAGGAGAUACAGAAAACAAGCACUUGAUAAACUUUUUAAAAACGUGUCAUAUUAAAAACUCUUUGCGUAACUACAAAUAGGUGGGUAGUCCUUUAACCUAAUUAAAAAUCUAUAAAAAACCUUUGGCAAACAUGUUCAGUGAAAACCCUUUUAGAAUGAGGAACAAGAAAAUGGCCUCUCUAUUCCUAGUCAACACAGUACUGGAGGUACUAUCAUUAUAAGAAAA